GAGAGAGAGUGUGAGAUUGCCACAACAGGUUUCCAUAGACUGCUGUAGAGAGAGAGUGUGAGAUUGCCACAACAGGUUUCCAUAGACUGCUGUAGAGAGAGAGAGUGAGAUUGCCACAACAGGUUUCCAUAGACUGCUGUAGAGAGAGAGAGUGAGAUUGCCACAACAGGUUUCCAUAGACUGCUGUAGAGAGAGAGAGAGAGGGAGACGGAGAGAUGAGAGAAUUGAAGAUCAGAUAAUGAAAGAACAGUGACCAGUGAAUGGAGAGAAGAGAGAGAAGAUAAAUAAUAACAGAAAAUAUGCAAAACAAGACUAAGACAAAAAACGACGAGAGAGAGAGAGAGAGGAGCCAGAGCACGUUGUUCGGAGUGUUCUGAGCAGACACUGUCUGGACCAUGUGCACAGGCACCAACUUGCCUUCGCGGAAGGCAUUACAAAGCGUGGCACUUCUGACCCCUAGCCUUGGUGUGCGGUCCAAAAAAGAAAACCCUCGAGGCCC
rnacentral:lncRNA from 13 species